CCAGCAAAGGAGUCACAUGAUGGCACUACAAGAAAAAGGUCUGCUGGUGGCUGCCGCAAAUGCUCUAAAUGCAGAUCGAUAAUGCCAGUUUGGACCCAGAGAGCAGAGAGGACAAGAAGGCUGAGUCAGGAGGAGAUCCGGAAAGGCAGUGGUUCGAGAGGAAGGUGUGCAUACAGCUCCUCAGCCUACCUAUCCCCUCAGGCCCACACAAGGAUGCAGAUCAAGCUGCCAGGGAGCCCUUCCUGGGAAACGCAGGAAGAGAAUAAACCAACUGCCAACCUGUCACGGACACAGUUCCUCAUGAGAGCUGGGUGACCAACAAAGCUCCGGCUCUCUGUGACCACAGCCUAGCAUCUCAGCAGGUCCUGACAUGCCUGUCUGGCUUCCAGACUCCCAGACUCUUCCUUCACCUUGCUGAGGUCCAUGCUCCUAGGACAGGGCAUCCUCAUUUUUUUUUGGUUUUUCCUCCUUGUAUUUUUGAGACAGGGUUUCACUGUGUAGUUCUGGCUGGCCUUGAACUCGUACCAAUCCUCCUGCCUCAGGCUCUGGAAUGCUGGGAUUGCAGACAAGCACCAGCUUAGACCCAGCCUCUGGCCUACCGACCAUUCACUAGCUGUGCCACCCUGAGGACUUUAUUAAGCCUGUUGGUGCCAGUUUUGGUGAAGUAAGGAGAAGAAUUCCUGCUUGAAGAAUUGCCGUAUGGAGUAAAGGAGUUACUGGAGGAAAGCGCCAAGCGUCAAGCUUGCCACACAGCAAGCACUCGAUGAAUGACCCGGCACCUGAUCCCCGAACCUCUCCGGCCCCCAUUAUUCCUUAUCAGGUUGGGCUUUGCACCCCAAAACUUCAGUAGGUAGGGCCAGCUCUGUCGCUGAGAACUUUUAUGCGUGAUGUGG
rnacentral:lncRNA from 1 species